rnacentral:tRNA from 5 species
GUCUCCUUAGCUCAGUUGGUAGAGCAAGGGACUUUUAAUCCUUGGGUCCAGGGUUCGAGCCCCUGAGGAGACA